rnacentral:lncRNA from 1 species
GAUUUCGGCAUUUUCGAUCUAAUUAAGCUUUGGUCUUUUGAGAGAUCUUCUUUGUACUCCGCCUUUUGAUAUUAAUAAAGUAUUUGCUCUGUCUUCGCCCGUGGACGUAGGCCGUUGGCCGAACCACGUAAAUUUCGGUGUGCUCUUUCCCUUUAUCUUUUCUUUUCCUACAUUAAGUUAUUUUCUGGAUCUAUUUUUUGCCGUUCCAUUUUUAACAAUCAUCAACGUUUUACCCGCUGCCUCCCAUUGGGUUUUAAUUGUAUCUUG